rnacentral:rRNA from 1 species
UACGUAGGGUGCAAGCGUUAAUCGGAAUUACUGGGCGUAAAGCGUGCGCAGGCGGUUUUGUAAGUCAGAUGUGAAAUCCCCGGGCUUAACCUGGGAACUGCGUUUGAAACUACAAGGCUAGAGUGUAGCAGAGGGGGGUGGAAUUCCACGUGUAGCAGUGAAAUGCGUAGAGAUGUGGAGGAACACCGAUGGCGAAGGCAGCCCCCUGGGUUAACACUGACGCUCAGGCACGAAAGCGUGGGGAGCAAAACGG